rnacentral:lncRNA from 1 species
CUUUGACAUAACAUUUGCAUAGAAGACAUACUUGGUUAAUGUAAAAUGCAUAGUUAUUUGAAGUGUGAAAAGCGGAUACAAAAGAUGUGGCUGAGUGCACUUCCUUCUCAUCCACCAAGCCAUACUUUGGACUAACUAUGGUUCCAAGCAGAGAGACCAGCAAUAGUGAAAUAGUAAAGGCUCAAAGCAGGACCUUGUGUGGCUCUUCCAGGAGCAGCAGAAGGCCAGCUUGGCUAGAACAUGAAGAAACAGAAAAUGAACAGAAAAUUUCUGGAACCGAAUCACUUCUAGAAAUAUUGGGAGUUUCUUGGAUAUUUAAGGAGGAUGAAACAGAUCAUACAGACAGAGCAAUCUGAUCAAAAUGGAGACCCUAGGAAGAUCCCUUGCUCCUUCAGCAGUGUGAACACAACAAGAAGAUGGCCAUUCAUCUAGGAGUCAAGAACCAACCUGUGACACCUUGAUGUGGGGUGUACCAGCCUCCUGAACUGAUUCUAGGACAUUCAGAUACAGAUUCCCAAGGGAACUGCAUAUUAUGAUUACAGAAUUCAGAGGACAGUUCAGAUAUACAGAUGGUCUUGGAGAAGAUAACUAAGUUUUCAAGGUGCUGAAGAGGAAAGCUGCAGCUCUGAAACUUACCUGCUAUGUUUUUGGCCCAAAGGCAAUUCUUCAUUAAGUCUUCAGUGUGCAGUGACCCUCUCUGGAUUCUAGUCUGCCUCCUAUUUCAAACUUUGCCACAGUAAGAGAGUUCAGAUAGCAAAGCCACAAAGUGUUAAUAUGAGAUAACCUGGGAGCUUCAGAGAGAGGAAAAGUAAGAAACUUCUUGAUUAGAGAUUGGAACAGGCAAUCAUGUAGAGAACAUUUGGUUGUGAAGAACCAACAGGCAGAGACUUUUCAGCCAUUAUGACAAGCUGCUUUCUUCACAGUUGCUAAGACAACUUCUUGGCUAAAAGAUUUGAAAGGCCUUUGCUGCUAGAUAGACCACUAGGUAAUCUGCUUCAUUGCUUAUUCAUUUAUUUUUCCACUCAUUCAUGUCCUCCAUAACUUAUUCAAUCAGCUCUUUAAGAAUGAUUUUAUUUUGAACAGUAUAAAAAAGUGUUUCCAAUAAUUUAAUGAAUGUUCAAAUUUCCUGGAAAUCUUACAGAAAAGUGGCUUCUAAUUCACAUACUGUAAUUUAACCAAGCUCUCAAUUGAUGAUGACGCCACUUCUGCACGGUAUGAGAAAUGGAACUAAUUUCAUUUCUCUUUUUCCUAAAUUAGUGGUUCUCAAGCUUGUUAGAAAAAUGCAAAUUCUUUGACUCAGGCCAAACUUACUGAAUCUUAGAGUGAGAUCCAGUAUCUCAUAUGUUAUCAAGACCUCCCAUAGAGGUGAUGCAUAUUCACAUUUCAGAACCAGGAAGUGUAGACUCACUUGGAGAGUUUGGAGGUUAAAUUGUGUUCUGAAAAAAAGAUGUGUUAAAGUGCUAAACUUAAAGAUACCUGUGAACAUGCUAUUGUUUGGAAGUAGAAACUGCAGAUAUAAUCAAGCUAAGAUGAGUUCAUACUGAAUAAAGGUGGCUCCUAUAUCCAAUGACUGUUGUCUUUGCAAGGACAAUGGGAUUUUGAUAGACACAGAUGUCUUGAGAUAUGAAGAAGUUCAUGUGACAAAGGAGGCAUAAACUGGAGUGAUGGUGGUCUAAAUGAGGGAAUGCUAAGGAUUGCUAGCCACCACCAGGAGUUGAGAAAGAAGCAUGAGUCUUCCCCACAGACUCUUGAGUGAAUAGAAACCUACCAAAACCAUUAAUUUAGAUGUUUAACCUUCAAAAUUGUGACACAAUACAUUUCAGUUAUUUUUAAAGAAAUAAAUUUGAGGUAGUUUGUCAUGGCAGCCCAGGAAACUAAUAUAGACCUUUGCAAAACUAAACUAAACCAAAACAAAACAAAACACCAUGGUGCUUACUCAAUCAAAUCAGAAUUCCUGAGGAUAGUGUCCCUAUGUGUGAUUUAGAAAUCUCCCUCAGGGAAUUUCAACAUUUAGUCAAAAUAUACAACUCUACACAUUUUUAGACAUGGUUAGACUGUUUAUAGUCUAUUUUGCAAUAAAUCAAAGUGCCAGAAGCAGUUGAAUAUCAUUAUAAUUACGUCUAUGUUUUGUAUAAAAAUCAGUUACUUAGGAAUUAUAUUAUGACAGUAUUUCUCAGACUUUUCUUAGGGUUGGAGUCACC